CCGCAGGCCGCCAUAGGGCCGCGUAACUAGUUGGCAGGCCGGAAUCUCGUUCGUUAUCGGAAUUAACCAGACAAAUCGCUCCACCAACUAAGAACGGCCAUGCACCACCACCCACAGAAUCGAGAAAGAGCCAUCAAUCUGUCAAUCCUUUCCGUGUCCGGGCCGGGUGAGCGGAACAGAACAGCUCUGAAGUCCAG